AGCUCCAAUAGCGUAUAUUAAAGUUGCUGCAGUUAAAAAGCUCGUAGUUGGAUUUGUGGCGCGGCCGUCGGGCGGGGCUCCUUCAUUGGGGCCGUUUGUCUGGUUCUUGGCCGCUCCAUUCUCGGGUAGCGUGUCUCUGGCAUUAGGUUGUCGGAUUCUUCGCGCCCGUCGUUUACUGUGAAAAAAUUAGAGUGUUCAAAGCAGGCUUAGGCCGUUGGAUACAUUAGCAUGGAAUAAUGAGAUAGGGCCACGAUGGUCUAUUUUGUUGGGUUGCACAUUGUGGUAAUGAUUAACAGGAACGGUUGGGGGUAUUCGUAUUCAAUUGUCAGAGGGGAAAUUCUUGGAUUUAUGGAAGACGAACUACUGCGAAAGCAUUUACCAAGGAGGUUU
rnacentral:rRNA from 1 species